UACGUAGGGAGCAAGCGUUGUUCGGAGUUACUGGGCGUAAAGCGCGCGUAGGCGGCUAUUUAAGUCGGGGGUGAAAUCCCAGAGCUCAACUCUGGAACUGCCUUUGAUACUGGGUGUCUUGAGUAUGGAAGAGGUUAGUGGAAUUGCGAGUGUAGAGGUGAAAUUCGUAGAUAUUCGCAGGAACACCAGUGGCGAAGGCGGCUUGCUGGGCCAUUGCUGACGCUGAGGUGCGAAAGCGUGGGGAGCAAACAGG
rnacentral:rRNA from 1 species